ensembl:lncRNA
CGUAGACCUCGUAACACAUUUCGGUCGAGUGGCCACAGCAGCCGAGCGGCGGCCCGGACCCCCGAGUCCGGACACCGGGUCAGCUGUGUGGUCCAUCGGUCGGGGGUUGCACGGCAGCCGCCCGGUGCGUCGGACUCGGUAGCCGGGGCUGGAGUGAUCUACUAGGAGAGUAGGUUCCGUCCUACUGGGAGAAGAGGGUCUGUCCUACUGGGAGAGGAGGGUCCGUCCUAUAACACACAAAUGUGUGUGUUGAAACCAGCGUUUCAUGAUGGGGACUUAACAAACAACAAAAAAUCACCCCAGACACGACCGCUGCUCUGAAGGAACCGCGAGAUGAAGACCUGGGCGAGCAGGCGUAGCACUGUUAUCUUCUAGGUCCUGGUGGUCCGCAGGGGUAGGCUGUAGGUCCUGGUGGUCUGUAUGGGUAGGCUGUAGGUCCGUGUGGGUAGGCUGUAGGUCCUGCGGGUGGUCUGUGUGGGUAGGCUGUAGGUCUUGGUGGUCCGUGUGGGUAGGCUGUAGGUCCUGGUGGUCCGUGUGGGUAGGCUGUAGGUCUGUGUGGGUAGGCUGUAGGUCCUGGUGGUCCGUGUGGGUAGGCUCUAGGUCCUGGUGGUCUGUGUGGGUAGGCUGUAGAACCAGGUGGUCUGUGGAGGUAGGCUGUAGACUAGGUUCUGGUGGUCCGUGUGGGUAGGCAGGAUUCAUUCUUUUUCUGUGUCUUAUCAGACCAUAAAUCCACAACAGCCUAUUAGUACUUUUAUGAUCCACUUUCGAGACGCUUCAAGCUAGGAUCGUUCAAGCUGUGAUUAAGCUAGAUUGUCUUUUUCUUACGUCUCAACGUCGCUUGGUCGUCGUUGCUUUUAUUUUUUAUUAUGUGUAUCAGAAACAUGAAUGAAAAUAGCCUCCAG